AGACCCGAAACCCGGUGAUCUAGCCAUGGGCAGGUUGAAGGUUGGGUAACACUAACUGGAGGACCGAACCGACUAAUGUUGAAAAAUUAGCGGAUGACCUGUGGCUGGGGGUGAAAGGCCAAUCAAACCGGGAGAUAGCUGGUUCUCCCCGAAAGCUAUUUAGGUAGCGCCUCGUGAAUUCAUCUCCGGGGGUAGAGCACUGUUUCGGCUAGGGGGCCAUCCCGGCUUACCAACCCGAUGCAAACUGCGAAUACCGGAGAAUGUUAUCACGGGAGACACACGGCGGGUGCUAACGUCCGUCGUGAAGAGGGAAACAACCCAGACCGCCAGCUAAGGUCCCAAAGUCAUGGUUAAGUGGGAAACGAUGUGGGAAGGCCCAGACAGCCAGGAUGUUGGCUUAGAAGCAGCCAUCAUUUAAAGAAAGCGUAAUAGCUCACUGGUCGAGUCGGCCUGCGCGGAAGAUGUAACGGGGCUAAACCAUGCACCGAAGCUGCGGCAGCGAACGUAUCACCCAAGACAACUUUACGGAGUUGACGAUUGACGGAGCGAAGCGACGUCAAAGCGUUCAUUAAAGUCGAGUUGGCUUAGGGAUACGUUCGUUGGGUAGGGGAGCGUUCUGUAAGCCUGUGAAGGUGUGUCGUGAGGCAUGCUGGAGGUAUCAGAAGUGCGAAUGCUGACAUAAGUAACGAUAAAGCGGGUGAAAAGCCCGCUCGCCGGAAGACCAAGGGUUCCUGUCCAACGUUAAUCGGGGCAGGGUGAGUCGACCCCUAAGGCGAGGCCGAAAGGCGUAGUCGAUGGGAAACGGGUUAAUAUUCCCGUACUUGGUGUUACUGCGAAGGGGGGACGGAGAAGGCUAUGUUGGCCGGGCGACGGUUGUCCCGGUUUAAGCGUGUAGGUGUGUGUUCCAGGUAAAUCCGGUUCACUUUA
rnacentral:rRNA from 4 species